rnacentral:rRNA from 1 species
CUUAUUAGUUUGUUGGUGGGGUAAUGGCCUACCAAGACUGUGUCAAUAGCUGCAUUUGAGAGGAUGAUCAGCCACAUUGGGACUGAGACACGGCCCAAACUCCUACGGGAGGCAGCAGUGGGGAAUCUUGCACAAUGGAGGAAACUCUCAUGCAGCGAUGCCGCGUGAGUGAAGAAGGCCCUUGGGUUGUAAAGCUCUUUCGUUCGGGGGAANAAAAUGACUGUCACCC